CCUACGGGUGGCAGCAGUGAGGCAUAUUGGUCAAUGGACGAGAGUCUGAACCAGCCAAGUAGCGUGAAGGAUGACUGCCCUAUGGGUUGUAAACUUCUUUUAUAUGGGAAUAAAAUGUUCCACGUGUGGGUUUUUGUAUUUACCAUAUGAAUAAGGAUAGGCUAACUCCGUGCCGGCAGCCGCGGUAAUACGGAGGAUCCGAGCGUUAUCCGGAUUUAUUGGGUUUAAAGGAAGCGUAGGUGGAUUGUUAAGUUAGUUGUGAAAGUUUGCGGCUCAACCGGAAAAGUGCAGUUGAAACUGGCAGUCUUGAGUACAGUAGAGGUGGGCGGAAUUCGUGGUGUAGCGGUGAAAUGCUUAGAUAUCACGAAGAACUCCGAUUGCGAAGGCAGCUCACUGGACUGCAACUGACACUGAGGCUCGAAAGUGUGGGUAUCAAACAGGAUUAGAUACCCGGGUAGUC
rnacentral:rRNA from 1 species